GAUGAACGCUGGCGGCGUGCCUAAUACAUGCAAGUCGAGCGAACAGACGAGGAGCUUGCUCCUCUGACGUUAGCGGCGGACGGGUGAGUAACACGUGGAUAACCUACCUAUAAGACUGGGAUAACUUCGGGAAACCGGAGCUAAUACCGGAUAACAUGUUGAACCACAUGGUUCAACAGUGAAAGACGGUCUUGCUGUCACUUAUAGAUGGAUCCGCGCCGCAUUAGCUAGUUGGUAAGGUAACGGCUUACCAAGGCAACGAUGCGUAGCCGACCUGAGAGGGUGAUCGGCCACACUGGAACUGAGACACGGUCCAGACUCCUACGGGAGGCAGCAGUAGGGAAUCUUCCACAAUGGGCGAAAGCCUGACGGAGCAACGCCGCGUGAGUGAAGAAGGUCUUCGGAUCGUAAAACUCUGUUAUUAGGGAAGAACAAAUGUGUAAGUAACUAUGCACGUCUUGACGGUACCUAAUCAGAAAGCCACGGCUAACUACGUG
rnacentral:rRNA from 1 species